rnacentral:sRNA from 12 species
GAGUUCCUCCAAGCCAUUCUGCAACUCAGUGCCAAAGCGGGAUGAAAACCGUUCUGAGAGGCGUCGGCUUUCGGCAGUGGAAGCUGCCGGAACGUCCGCAUUGGGGAAAAGCGCCGGGGAUACCCUGCGUCAGUGCCCUGUGAAACCGGUGCGAACCGGCGACGGAAUGUUGAGAGACAGAAAAUGCAGUGCUGUGCCGGAGGAACGCGAACCAAGGCGCAGUUUCUGCCGCCGGCAAACAGACGCCCUCCCGGAAGGAGGGAAUAACCCGGAAUGCCGCAGGGUGGUGCCUGCAGGAGAGCGAUCGGGAUCAUGAGCGCCCGAUCCUUUACGGGAAGACCCUGCGCCGGUUUCCAGUGAAGCCCCGAAAGGGGUGUAUAAGACGGAACACUGGCCCAUGUAGCGGAAUGGAGAAAGUCUCAUCUUCCAGCUUGCGACAUCUGAUCAACCAUCGCUUAUUGCCGGAAGAUCCGUGAAUGGCAGAGGUAACCAGUCCUCUUUGGGAACAGCGGUGAAAACCGCAGGAUACGCGGACGGGAGUCGCUGCCCGUCAACCGGCCGUAUUCUCCCAGUGGCUGAACAGGUUCGAAGUUCCGGUCGGUACCGUGAAAGCGGGCAGGAUGGUUUGGAGGAAC